rnacentral:rRNA from 1 species
CGGGGUGAGUAAUGUCUGGGAAACUGCCUGAUGGAGGGGGAUAACUACUGGAAACGGUAGCUAAUACCGCAUAACGUCGCAAGACCAAAGAGGGGGACCUUCGGGCCUCUUGCCAUCGGAUGUGCCCAGAUGGGAUUAGCUAGUAGGUGGGGUAACGGCUCACAUAGGCGACGAUCCCUAGCUGGUCUGAGAGGAUGACCAGCCACACUGGAACUGAGACACGGUCCAG